rnacentral:tRNA from 1 species
GUAGACAUAGUUUUAACCAAAACGCUAGAUUGUGAUUCCAGAAAUAGAGGUUAAACCCCUCUUGCCCACC